AGCGAACGCUGGCGGCAGGCCUAACACAUGCAAGUCGAACGGAUCCUUCGGGAUUAGUGGCGGACGGGUGAGUAACACGUGGGAACGUGCCCUUUGGUUCGGAACAACUCAGGGAAACUUGAGCUAAUACCGGAUGUGCCCUUCGGGGGAAAGAUUUAUCGCCAUUGGAGCGGCCCGCGUCUGAUUAGCUAGUUGGUGAGGUAACGGCCCACCAAGGCGAUGAUCAGUAGCUGGUCUGAGAGGAUGAUCAGCCACACUGGGACUGAGACACGGCCCAGACUCCUACGGGAGGCAGCAGUGGGGAAUCUUGCGCAAUGGGCGAAAGCCUGACGCAGCCAUGCCGCGUGAAUGAUGAAGGUCUUAGGAUUGUAAAAUUCUUUCAGCGGGGACGAUAAUGACGGUACCCGCAGAAGAAGCUCCGGCUAACUUCGUG
rnacentral:rRNA from 1 species